rnacentral:rRNA from 1 species
UACGUAGGUGGCAAGCGUUGUCCGGAAUUAUUGGGCGUAAAGCGCGCGCAGGUGGUUUCUUAAGUCUGAUGUGAAAGCCCACGGCUCAACCGUGGAAGGUCAUUGGAAACUGGGGAACUUGAGUGCAGGAGAGAAGAGUGGAAUUCCACGUGUAGCGGUGAAAUGCGUAGAGAUGUGGAGGAACACCAGUGGCGAAAGCGGCGCACUGGACCAUAACUGACGCUGAUGCGCGAAAGCUAGGGGAGCAAACAGG